rnacentral:ncRNA from 1 species
GCCGCCACGCCUCUUAGCAAUGCGCAAACUUGGCGGCU